rnacentral:tRNA from 1 species
GUGGAUGUAGCUCAACCGGUUAGAGCGCCAGACUGUGGAUCUGGAGGCUGUGGGUUCAAGUCCCAUCAUCCACCCCA